rnacentral:miRNA from 1 species
AUGACAAUGGUGAUGACAACG